rnacentral:snRNA from 10 species
AUAUGUUGGUAUCCUGGUCAAUGGGCGAUCAACAAAACUCAUGGCCUAGGAUGGUAAUUUCCAUUGCACUUUGAAAUGAUGCUGUCUUAAGGUCGGUCCAAGUGGUCGAGCCUACGUCAUAAUUUGUGGUGC